rnacentral:rRNA from 1 species
GCUAAGCCCUAAACAUUGAUUGGCCCUCCACCUAAGCCUUCCGCCAGAAUAUUACAAGCGAAAAACUUAAAACUCAAAGGACUUGGCGGUGUCCCAUCACAACCUAGAGGAGCCUGUCCUAUAAUCGAUACCCCUCGCUCCACCAAACCUCCACUAGCAAAUUUCAGCCUAUAUACCGCCGUCGACAGUCUACCCCUUGAGGGCCUAAUAGUAGACAAAAUAGUUUAACAACUAAUACGUCAGGUCAAGGUGUAGCAAAUGUUGAGGAAGAGAUUGGCUACAUUUUUUAUUUUAAAAAAUACGAAAUGCAACAUGAAAUCAUGCACGAAGGUGAAUUUAGUAGUAAAGUAGGUAAGAGUCCCUACUUUAACACCGCUCUGGGACGCGC